rnacentral:rRNA from 1 species
NNNNNNNAUGGCUNACACAUGCAAGUCGAACGGCAGCAUGGGUGCUUGCACCUGAUGGCGAGUGGCGAACGGGUGAGUAAUGCAUCGGAACGUACCCGGAAGUGGGGGAUAACGUAGCGAAAGUNACGCUAAUACCGCAUAUUCUGUGAGCAGGAAAGCGGGGGAUCGCAAGACCUCGCGCUUCCGGAGUGGCCGAUGUCGGAUUAGCUAGUUGGCGGGGUAAAGGCCCACCAAGGCAACGAUCCGUAGCGGGUCUGAGAGGAUGAUCCGCCACACUGGGACUGAGACACGGCCCAGACUCCUACGGGAGGCAGCAGUGGGGAAUUUUGGACAAUGGGGGNAACCCUGAUCCAGCCAUGCCGCGUGAGUGAAGAAGGCCUUCGGGUUGUAAAGCUC